GGUUGGCAGUUGUGGGGCUUUUGCACUUACAGAGUGGUGGCCUGAGUGACAUUAAGAACUGUCGCAGUGGAGGCUGAGACCAAUUUUAAUGCUAACAUUCAUGGCUGUAGUAACGACUAUCCUUUCAUGCACCCAGAAGAAUCACUUGUUGAUUGCAGCAACCAUCACCAUGAAGCAGCAGUAGCAUGAUGUAAUGCAGGCUGGGACGGGUGGAGAGCUUCCCUGGAUUAUACAGGUUUUGGCUGCAUUAACAGGCAGAAGCGACACAGCACGUUCUGGACACCCAGCUUCUCAUAGAAUUUGUGGAGUUCAUCAUUCUUAGAGAAGGAGCAAUCUGAGUUCUGGUUCCAGCACCAAGCCAAAGGCAAGCAUGGCUGGUCUUUCAUAAUGAGUAAGCCUCCUGAGGGGUUCUGGGACAUAUCAAGAUAGGAGAACCUAGUGGAAAAGAGACUAUGAUCUUCCUGUUAACGCGGGCAUGAGUGUUGCACUUUGGAUUCGUCCUGGGAGAUUAUUCGCCAAACUGAAACUUGGGCACUCCACUUACAUAGGAGAAAUCGAAGGCAUUCAAGAGACUGAGGACUGUGUUGCAGACCCGCCAAGAGCCUGUUUGCAUCUGGAUUGAAUUACCUCCGGAAGAAGAAUUUAUCCCACAGGAAGAGAGGGGGGGCCCUCGAGUGUAUCCUAGACGAGUACUCGCGUCAGGAGGAGGAUGACUUCUGAAGACAGCAGCGUCUGUCCCUGGGCUCCGCUUGCCUACCCUGGCCUUUGCCUGAGGCCAUGGGGUGGCAGCAAGACAGAGGGGCCUGGAUCAGGGUGUGACAUCCGCCAGCAGCGGAAGAUUUUGCCAGCGCUGGUGGCACUGUUCCUCUGGGUGUUAGUGGCUGCGUCUGAGCUGGCGGCUGCAGCACGGCAGGGAGGGCCAGCAUCAACAGCCAGUGCCAUCAUGGCGCUGGGCGGAUUCUGGGGCCGUAACCAUGGAGCCAGGACAGAGCAGGGAUAGUGGAGAAAAUGUUGGCUAUGACACAGCAGCUAAUAGUGCUAUGAGCGUGGGACACACACCUGCAAAUUCUUGGGUAUAAUUAGGGGACUUUGUCAGGUCCCAGGGGGACCAAACAGUGAGUAGUGUUGCAAAAGACUGUUAGGGAUGCAGCAUAGACCAUAGAAACAGACUGUGUGGGUUUAAAUCCUGCCUCCGCUGCUCGUCAGCUAUGUCCACAACCUCAUCUCUACUUCCUCGUUAGUGGCAUUUACCUACCUCAAGUUGUUAUGAGGGAGGAUGAAAUAGUCUUUUUCUCUGUACAGGAGACUUUGACAAUUUUGCCUCAUUAGGACUAAAGCCAAAUGUGCUAGUUAAUCAGAAUAUGAAAUUUUAGCGAUCAAUAUUCCUUCAGAAGCAUUCUUUUUUUCCCUCAGGCUGUUUUACUUAAAUUUACUUUAAUUUGGGCUUUGCUAAGACUUUGAUUGUAAGCUGGAUCUGAAACAGAGGCUUUGUUUCACCAACACCUUUUACUCCUGUCUCUUCUUCAACACGUCCUUUGCUUCUCACUGAGUGUUGGGGUAAGGAUAAGUACAUUAUCUUAAUUGUCUACAUGUAUGCCUAUGUCCAUACGCUCAUCUGUGUCCAUACCCACACAACUGUCUAUCCCUCUCUAUUCUCUCCCUGUCUCUCUCUUCACACUGUGAUAGAUUCUGGCAAGAUGAAUGCAACAGUACUUCUGUCCAUGUAUGCUUGCCACUUAGCACUGUCACUUUUGCCACUCUUCCCAUCAAGAUGGAGGGCCUAUUUCCCCAUCCUCUUAAUACGGCUGGCCUCGCGACUUGCUCUCGUCAAUAGAAUGAGGCAGAAGUGAUGUUGUGUGGCUUUAAAGACUAUGUCAUAAAAGGCCUUGCAGGAGGCAGGACUUCCAGAAUGGCCAGAAACAAGAGUCUCUCUUCUUCAGAGAGAAGCUUAGCACAUACUUGUCCUAAAAAACAAUAAUAAAACCAGAUAAAAAUUUGCAAAAACAAUUUUAAGACGCUGGAAAUUGACCAAGGACAACAACUUGAGAAGCUCUGGUUGAAGAAAAACUACAGAACCGCUCUAAGAAUGGUGGGAGUGUGGCGUUUCAGGCGGGGCUGCCUCCAGUCUGUGUCCCAGGCCCCAUCAGCUCCACAUCACAGAAUUCUGCAAGGGUGGGGCCGGCUGCGAAGACAGGCAGCCUCAGGGCCUCAGCAGGCUAGUUGAUUUGGAAUAGAAUGCAGAAAAACACAUGCCUAGGGGUACUGAUAAAAAGAGUAAUGAUCUCUGCAGAAAUGCAGGGAGGCCAACAUGGCUUGGUCUGAGAUCACACUGGUUGGAACAAGUAACAGAUCAGCAGGUCAGCAAGAAAUUUAACAAGGAGCCUGAGAAAUGAAAGCUGAGAGCACUGCAUUAGGGAAUCACUAAAUUAAUCUAGCUGGUUGCAGGAAAUAAGGUCAAUAAACAAAAAUCAACAGUUUUUCUAUAUGUCAACAAUAAAAACUGAAAACUGAAGUUAAAAAUACCAUUCUCUAGCUUCCAAAUACAUUAAAUAGUGAGGGAUAAAUUUAUCAAAAUGUGUGCAAAACCUGUACACUGAAAGUCAUAGAACUUUGCUGAGAAAUUAAUGUCACCAAAUAAAUGGAUAGAUAUACCAUGUUCAUAAAUUGGAAGACAAUAUUUUUAAGAUGUCACUUCUCCCAUAUUGAUCUUGGGAUUCAACUCAAUCCCAGUCAAAAUCCUAAUGGGCUUUUUUUGGUAGAAAUUUAAAGCCAGUUCAAAAUUUGAUAUAAAAACACAAAAACCUAGAUGCACCAAAACAAUUGUGAGAGAGAACAAAGUUUUGGAGAAUUUAUACUGCCUGAUUUCAAGGUUUGUUAUAAAGCUACAGUAACAGAAAACAUGAGGUAUUCAUAUAAGAAUAGAUAUAUAGAACAAUGAAAGAGAAUAAAGAGACUAGAGAUAAAUCUACAUACAUAUAGACAGUUAAUUUUUACCCAGUAAAAAUUAUCAAAGAUAUCAACAUAAUUCAUAUAGAAAUGGUAAUUUUUUUAACAAGUAGUACUGAAAUAACUGGAUAGAAGAUACCAGUUGUAUAGAAGAAAAUGAAUUUUGACUCAUAAUACUUUACUAUAUAAAAAAAAUAAUGUGAAUUGAUCAGAGACCUGAAUAAAAAAUUAAAACUAUGAAACUCCUAGAUGAAAAUAUUUGGGACAAGCAGAGGUUUCUUAGGGCACAAAAGGUAUUAAAUAUAAAAGAAAGAGUUGAUAAAUUGGACUUUAUUAAAAACCUCUGCUCUUCAAAAUAUACCACAAAGAAUAUGAUAAAGCAAGCUAUAGACUAGAAGCAACAAAAUUAGAAACAACUUGAUUUUGUUUAGUAAAUUUGAGGACUUGCAUGUCCCAUGAUCCAACAAUUCCAUUCUUAAAGUUUAUACCCUAGAGAAACAAUUAAAUGCUCCAGGCAUAGUGUGUGUGUUUAUUGGGGCACGAGUUUAUCUCCAUCUCAAAAUCCCACUGGGUCCCUAGCCCACCCCUCAACAUCCAUCCCACCACCUCCUCCCACCAAAGAACCCACCAAACUUUGUUAAUAGGAUCUUCUCAUUUCUUUCUAGUCCUUCUUUCAGGGCCACUGACCUUCUGGCCCCACCUCCACAUGCCCAGGCCCUGUCAUCUCCAGGGUUCUUAAGUAUACCCUGACAAAAUCUUACUCGCAUGGGUGUGUCUGUGUGUGUAGUUUUUCUCAACUGAUACUCAAAACCUCCUUCCUUGACAUUUUUUCCCAUCUCAUAAUGUUCGUGACUCAACUAGACUUUGAAAGGAAAAGAAGUGAAAUAAGCUAAUGGCCUAACGACGCCCCAGGUUCCAAGUAUGUACAUUUGCCAGGCACCACUAACUGAUCUGGGAGACCUUUCAUCCAUGCUCCCAGGAGCAUGGGGGCACCAGGGGCCCUCGGCAAUGACCCUCACCUUGGCUUCCAGGCCAGUAUGGGUUGUUGUGACUGCCCUUGCAGUGUACCUGGACCUUCCCUGCUGCAAGAACUUACUGUCGAGAGAAGAAACUUUGGUUGAAGAGCAAGUACGCCUAGUGUAAAGCCACAGGGACAUUUUCCUGUGUCAGUCCUUCUGAGGGGACAAUGACUUAGGUUGUCCUGUUGCACGAACGUUUCCUGAUUUCAGUUGGGAAGUACACGAAGCCACUUCCCUCAGACAACUAGAUUGCCGUUUUCCUUACAGAGAGGGAAACUCCCCCUAGUUAGUUUUGCUAUGAGAUAUGGCCUCUCCUGUUGUCAACUCUGUCGAAUCAGUGUGGUGCAUUAGGAAUAAGUUUACGAGAACUUAACUGAGAAACCCAGUGUGGGAGAGGGGAGAAUUCCCCCUCUUUCCUCUCUUGGUUCUUACGGCUGGUAGAAUAAUUAAAAUGUCUGAUUAACAAGACAUUAAAAGGAGAAAAUCCAAUUUAUUAGGUACACACAGUAACCCCACAUACAUGAGAAAGUCAGAGAUCUCAAAUACAUGAGCGGUUCAGAGGCAGAAAGGUAAAAUGGGGUAUUUAUGCCACCUCAAGCUAAGGAAUGGGAUAGGAGCCUGGAGCUUCAGAGAGGAGGAGAGUGACUCACAGACGAUAAGAAGAGCAGUAAUUAGAGGUUUGCCCUGCCGUACAGAUAGGUCAUAAAAAGUCAUUUCUGAUAAUAGCUCUCAUUAUGGGCAAGGCCCUCGAUUUAAAUUCUUUCAGGAGAGGUGAGAGUUUCUCUUGAGUCUGCAGGGUCUCAGUUGCCUUCGGCUCAGAAUACUCCAUGUGCCAAUGCUGCACAUGCUGGGGAGGCCCGCCCUGCACCUCAGCACCAGUGAGGC
rnacentral:lncRNA from 1 species